rnacentral:rRNA from 1 species
UAGGGAAUCUUCCACAAUGGACGCAAGUCUGAUGGAGCAACGCUUCGUGAGUGAAGAAGGUUUUCGGACCGUAAAGCUCUGUUGUUGGUGAAGAAGGAUAGAGGUAGUAACUGGCCUUUAUUUGACGGUAAUCAACCAGAAAGUCACGGCUAACUACGUGCCAGCAGCCGCGGUAAUCGUAGGUGGCAAGCGUUGUCCGGAUUUAUUGGGCGUAAAGCGAGCGCAGGCGGAAGAAUAAGUCUGAUGUGAAAGCCCUCGGCUUAACCGAGGAAUUGCAUCGGAAACUGUUUUCUUGAGUGCAGAAGAGGAGAGUAGAACUCCAUGUGUAGCGGUGGAAUGCGUAGAUAUAUGGAAGAAUACCAGUGGCGAAGGCGGCUCUCUGGUCUGCAACUGACGCUGAGGCUCGAAAGCAUGGGUAGCGAACAGGAUUAGAUACCCUGGUAGUCCAUGCCGUAAACGAUGAGUGCUAAGUGUUGGGAGGCUUCCGCCUCUCAGUGCUGCAGCUAACGCAUUAAGCACUCCGCCUGGGGGAGUACGACCGCAAGGUUGAA